UUUGCCAUAAAGUGACAUAUCAACCAUUUGGUAGAGGCCGAUAUUUUAAAAAUUAUGGGACGUGUGACUCCUGGCGAGCCUGUUUUGUCACCCGUAUGAAAAUAAAAUCAUUAUAACAAUUAUAAUAUUAGCAGUAUUAGUGAUAAAACUCCUGAAAACUAUAACCUGAAUAAUAAGAGUUGAAAAGUGUGGAAUAUGAGUAAUUAAGUGGUUUAUGAGAGUGUUGUAGUGCUUGUAGAUCUCAAGCACACACACAUUCAGCUCUGCUCCGCUGCUCUUCUGUACAACACACUCAAGACUUCUCUCUUCUUCUCUGGGUUUGGGUUUUCUAGAGUCACUCUGUUUGGUACGUAUCAGAUAAAUCAAAUUAAUACUCAUACACACUGUAGUUUCAUCACAGUAUCACUGGUGCGUCUCUCUUGACAGGUAAAGUCAUUUAUUUAAAGUUAUUUUCAGAGUGAUCUCUGAUUCAAUGCAAUAUCCACCACUGGAAGAAAGUGUCUGACACACUUUCAAAGGAAAUGUCUGAUUUAGACAGUAGUCAACAUCCACUGGACGAACAGCUCUUUAUAAUGGAAAUGUUUCUCACGUGAAUGAGAAGAUGGUUAUUUUAAGAUCUGUUCACGGGGAGAUUCUUUUGUGGCAUGGAUAUGAAACCCCCUUUUGCAAUCUUUCUGCUCCGCGCUCCAGUAUAUGUGAUUUUGUGUGUCCGAGGCUCAUCUGAGCUCCAGCGCAUCACAGAGCCCCCAAUGGCGAGCCGAGGAGCCCACGGGAGUAGGUGCUGAGGGCAGUUAUUUGGACGGAGACGUCGCAAAGAUGGAGCGCGCAGUUUGUGUCCGUCCGCGCGCAGAAGGGGGGCACGCGGGACUUCUCGUGCUCGCGCUCGCGGGGCUCGGGCUCUGGAUGCAUGAAGUCACGGCUCUGCCUGUCUGGAGAUUUGCGGUUGCUCCUCCAGUGGAUUCUGAUUCAGAGGUGGUGGCUUUGGGCCACUGGCCGAAGUAUCCAAUCCUGAACGUGCCCUCAACGCUGGACAAACAGACCAACUGGGCUGGAAUCUUACCACUGCCAACCCCAGACGAGAAGAUGAAGACGGACUCUCAAAUCAUCUCAUCAUGCAUCGUUCCCAUUAAUAAUCACCUUCCGCUGUGGAUGAAGAUAGCAGCCAAGAAAGGCAAAAUCUAUUGGUAUAAAGACAGUGAGCCUCUGGAGUUCUCUCAUCCGGCUACAUUUCCCUGAAAGAUGACCACAUCACUAUUGUGGCGAAUGCCAUCAACGAGGGCACAUACACCUGCUUCGUGAGGAAGAACAAGAAGGUGCUGACCACGUACUCUUGGACGGUACGAGUGCACUUCUGAGGACCUGACGUACUUCUGGAGCGCAAAUUAUAUCCAGAAGAUUAGCCAGGACCAGAUCCAGACCAGCAUCCUCUCAUGCUUGAUCCUGAUGGACAUCACACAUCUCAGGAUAUCUGCAGCAUGGAGGAAACGACGGGAUCAGGGUCAAAGUUCACCACAGUACAGCGGGACAUCACUCACACCUUUAUACAUACACACUGCCAAAUGUUUUAAUACCAGGGUUUGUACUUGUGUGUUGUAAAUACAUCUCUUAUUUGUCCAGUAAAACAAUUUACGAUGUCAUUUGAAGCCUUUAAUUCAUCCAGAAUAACAGUCAACUUUCACACCCAUAAAACCUUUUAUGAAGCUUAGGGGAAAAUGUAGUGGUGUCUAAGUCUGAAAACGCUGGUGAAACGGCUUCAUUCUUGAAAACGGAAAUUUUAACUACAACCAAUCAAACUGAAAAAAGUGCAUUGAUUUCUGAAUGCCUUGACUAUUAUUAGGUCUCUCUUUUGCUCUGAUGACAGCAGCACUAGAGUUGAGAGGCAUGAAAACACCGAUAAUUCAUGAUAUCCAGCAUGAGAUGUUCAUUUAACAUCAUUAUUAAUCAUUUAACUAAAACCUUUACAUUUAAUCUUAGAACACAGACGUCUUGCUUUAUAAUGCCCAGUGUUUUCUCACCUUGGACUCAAUGGUUGCGGUGUAUCCAAGUGUCUUCUCGUAUUACACCACUGUAAAACACAACUGUUCUCUCACUAUAUUCCACUCGCAUUUUCUUUUCAUAGAAAUAAUCCACUGUACUGAACGCUGGUAGUGACCCAAGGCUUAUUCUAGUUUGUGGUUUCGUAGUCCGUUCUGAUUUUAAUGUUUUAUCCCCUUGUGUAAGAUGCCACCCAUCAGCACAUUGGCUCACAUUAUUUAUUUUGAGUCUUGUAGACAUGAGAGCACUUCAAAGAGUGGAAAAGCUAGUGGAAAGCAAAUGCUCACUCCUGAAUCCCCCUUUUACAGCCAGAAACAAGCGAUUAGGGACCUUAUAUAAUGUGAGGAGCAAGUGGGGACUUGGGAAUUUUCUCUACUGAAAAAUAUUCAGAAGAUUUUCUCACACAAAAGAUUAUUGUGCUCUAUUGUUCCAGUCCCACAGGACACAUAAGGAGGGUUUUGGAGAAUAUGCUGAAAGUGAAGGGACACUAGGUCUGUUCAGCUCUGGAAAGUUUCAUAUCCAAACAAAAUAAAGGUAGUCAAACACCACUCAAGUGCUACAGUCAUGAUUUUUCCUUCUUGUGCUCCACCAAAUGCUCUGCCAGUUUCGUUCAGACAAAACCUGUUCCCUUUCUCCAUCUCUCCUCUGUAAUAUCAUCCUUUUUUCUCUUCCCCGCCAGUUCUCAUCAGUUGAUGUGAAUACUGCCACAGACACUUGAUGCUCCACAUUAACACUCUGUCUAGAGAAUAUCUGGUGGUUAUAUGAUGUUCUCCAUGAACAUUGGUCCAAACUUGGUCAAGAGUUCAGGUUCACACAGCCAAGAACUCAGACCAACCACAUACACAGCUAAUAACCUUCUCCCUGUCCUUAAAGAGGCAGACGUAUCUAAACUUCAUGCUUCCACCUCCAGACCCAAUCCCUUCACACCUUCUGCAAGCAAUUUCUCCCAGUCUUUCACCAGCACUCACACAUCAUCAACACAUCUGUCCUCACAGACACUAUCCCCAGUGUUUUCAAGCAGGCUCAGGUGCAGUCACUGCUGGAGAAAACACACACUAAACACUUCAGAAGUUAGAAAGCUAUAGGACCGGUGUCUUUCUCCCAUUCAUAGCAAAAACACUUGAGCGAGUGGUUUUCAACCAGGCAUCAUCUAUCCCUCUCAGAAUGACCAGCUGGAUGUUAACCAAAGAGGACCCUUAACCAAGUCUACAUGACUGUUGGUCACUGAAGCCCUGCUGAUUGCAAAAGCUGAUUUCAAAUCAUUAGUUAGAUCUGUCUGCAGGUUUCGACACCCAUCAAUCAUCAGAUCCUCCUGUCCACCCUCUUAUCACUGGGUGUCACAGGAACUGCACUUCUCUGGUUCAAGUCUUAUCUCACAGGUAGGUCUUUCAGGGUUGCCUAAAGGGAAGAGGUAUCCAAAGCACUGGGGUUCCUCAGGGAUCCAUUCUUGGACCCCUCCUCUUCUCCAUAUACACUACAUAACUUGGUCCCAUCAUACAGGCACAUGGCUUCUAUCUUCUAUUUCAACCAGAUGAUCCAAAGGUAGCUGCACAGAUCUCAGGCCUGGCAGACAUCUCCACAUGGAUGAAAUAAUAUCACACACAGCUCAACCUGGCAAAGACUGAGCUUCUUGUCUUCCCUGCCACUCCAAAACUACAGUAUGAUUUCUCCAUCCAGCUAGGCUCUUCUACAAUUACCCCAUAAACUUCUGUCAGAAAUCUUUGUGUAACCUUUGAUGAGCAGCUGACCUUCAAAGACCACAUUGAAAAGACGUCUCAAUCAUGCAGUUUUGCAUUGAACAGCGUCAGAAACAUGCUGCACAACUUUUCGUCCAAGCACUUGUCAUUUCUAGACUAGUUUCCAGUUAUCCCAAAACAGCACAUGUUACACCUCUCUUUAUCUCCUUGCACUGGCUACUGGUUCAAGACACUGAUGCUUGCAUAUACAACAUCUGGAACUAGUCUUUGAAAAUUUUCAACAACUGAAAAUGUAUCUUUUCCAUGAACACUUAAUAGCAUAUUGCUGACUUUUUCUUAAAAAAAAAAUAAUAAAUCAUAAUAAUAAUGUCCUAUGUGUCACAACUUUAUGGAAUUUGUUUGUUCUCAUUUCUAUCCCUCAUACUCUUUGGCCUAGUUUCUGUCUUCCCUUUAUUGUGUCAUCAUUAACGUUCCCCUUAUAAGUUGCCUUCUGUUGAGUGUCUGGUUGUCUGGUCUCGUCAGUGUGUACUUGUGUUUCGGCCUGCUCCCUAUGGAUUACUCCAUGUGGAUUAUUAAAGACUUCCUCGUUAUGUGUUUCUCUCCCGAACCACUAUUGCUGGUGCUUAUAAGCCUCUUUAGAUAUAAGUGGUUGUUAAAAGAAUAAAUAGAAUAUAAGAGCUUAAGACCAAAUCUACACCGUUAUUCCCUGAAAUUCAUCUCAACUGUAGCUUUCAACAGAAAUAUGACCACAUUAGCAUUUUCUCAAGACAUAUAAGAGAACCAAUGAUCUUUGUCAUUUAUGAAGCAUUUUUGACUCAUGAGUUUUGCAGUCAAUUUCAGUGAGUUGGCAGAGAUUAAGAUUAUUCAUGAAUAUGGCUUUAAAUAAGGACAAAGAACCACCUGGAUUUUCUUUGUUAUAGCGCAUUAAUUUAGAACGCUGAUUAAUCUGUUAAACAACAUACUCCAGGGUAUCUCUGACCACAACAGUGGACUAACAUAAGCAAACGGUCCUAUGCUAUCAGAUAAAGAUGCUACACUAAAUAUUAAAGGUGCUUCAAAAGGUUCUUCACAGCGAUGCCAUAGAAUAAUCAUUACUGGACAAACAACAGUCUUCGUCCAGUAAGACAGCAACAGAUACAGACGUCCUUAGCCAGUUCUGAGAGAGGCAGAAGACAUACUGACUCCGGCGAAUAAACCUUUGGUCUGUGUGUUCCAGGAUAAGGACGUUCUGCACCUACUCCAGGUGCUCCAGGAGAUCAGCUUCCUACAGUGUGUCGUGUUCAGGGCUGCUGAAGAAGAGUCCUGCUUCCUUCCUCACCGCACUGAUACCAGCACAACCAGUGGAAGAAGUCUCCUCCACCACGGAGAACAUACACAUCUCCUCUCCAAACCUCUUCAAGAGACCAAGACUGUGGUAGAUU